GACGAACGCUGGCGGCGUGCUUAACACAUGCAAGUCGAACGGAAAGGCCCUGCUUUUGUGGUGUGCUCGAGUGGCGAACGGGUGAGUAACACGUGAGUAACCUGCCCUUGACUUUGGGAUAACUUCAGGAAACUGGGGCUAAUCCCGGAUAGGAGCUCCUGCUGCAUGGUGGGGGUUGGAACGUUUCGGCGGUUGGGGAUGGACUCGCGGCUUAUCAGCUUGUUGGUGGGGUAGUGGCCUACCAAGGCUUUGACGGGUAGCCGGCCUGAGAGGGUGACCGGCCACCUUGGGACUGAGGUACGGCCCAGACUCCUACGGGAGGCAGCAGUGGGGAAUAUUGCACAAUGGGCGGAAGCCUGAUGAAGCAACGCCGCGUGCGGGAUGACGGCCUUCGGGUUGUAAACCGCUUUCGCCUGUGACGAAGCGUGAGUGACGGUAAUGGGUAAAGAAGCACCGGCUAACUACGUG
rnacentral:rRNA from 1 species